rnacentral:misc_RNA from 1 species
UCCUCGAGGCCUAUUGC